rnacentral:rRNA from 1 species
GCUUAGCACAGGUGGUGCCAUGGUUCUGUCGUCAGNCUCGUGUCGUGAGAUGUUGGGUUAAGUCCCCGCAAGCGAGCGCAACCCUUCGUUCAUUUGUUGCCCAGCGUUUAGUUCGGGCACAUCCUAGAGUGAGGAGCUCCCAGGNGUACUAAACCGGAGAGAAGGUGGGGAAUGACUCAAAUUCAUUCAUAUGCCCCUUAUAUGAUCCUUGGGUACAACAACCUGUGUACCAAUUGGCGUAGUCCCAAAGGGAAGCG